AUUUAAGGGUUGGCAGUGGAACUGAGGGUAUCUUACUGGAGAUUGCUGUCUACUAGAGAUGCUUUAAGGUGCAACCAUAUUAUUCAAGAGGAAUGAAGAACAGUAGCUGAUACAUCAGAUACAGAUUCAGCACACACUGCAAUAACUGAUACUCUGUAAGAGUGUGGAAUUGUUUCUUGUGGUUUACUGGGACAUGGCAUACCACCUAAGCAAUUGCUGGAAAAUCAUCACCCUCAGUGCCACUGAGUGCCACUGCUGAACAGAAUUCAGAGCACAGGAGAAGAAUAGGAUUUUCAGGCAUUAAAAGGCAGGCAAACGCUGAAGGUGUACAUUCACAGACCAAUUCUGAUUUUUACUAAAUAUGUUAAGUUUUCUGGUAGUGUUCUUACAAAGCUAAUCUUUUGAAGUGCUUGAGCCAGAAUGUCGGUAAAAUUUGAAUUAUUAUUUUCAAAUCAGUUCAGUAUGCUGCUCGGUUCUCUGGAGCUAUUGGGCUGAAAUAAUCUGAAAGAGCUAAAAAAGCAAACUGUAGAAGUAAAAGAAGAGAAAUUCUGUCCAGAAUAAAGUAGCCUAUUUUUAGUUAUCAUAAGCUAACAAAAGAGAAAGUAUAUAGGUCAAACUCUGUGCUGUACACAGUAAGUCUAUAUAGCAUUUUUCAGGUGGAACUGAACACUGUGGACACAGCAACACACGAUGAGGAGUGCAUCAGCUUGAGGUGUUGAUAAAAGGCCGAAGCUCAAAUGGUACCCUUUUCAGAGGCCUAGAGAAAAGCAGGAAUUUGGAGGGAUCUUGUACUUGGCCUUUCCUUGUAAUAUAGUAGGUGUGCUACCCCUAAGUGCUGAGGAUAAUGUAAGAUAUAUCAACUUGGAAGUCACAGACAUCCUUUGAUGUCCUCCAGCAUGCUCCUGAAUCCUUCUCACUAAAGUGAAUCCCAUGAAUGCUCUGAAAUCCUGUAAACUGAACUAUUUUUAUGAGAGUAUUGCAUCACUGGCUAAUAAUUUUUUCAGCUUCGGGAUGACAGUUGUUUUCAGAUUUCUAACUUGACAGCUAUGUUGGAUUUUUUUAUGUCAGCUUUUUACAGUUCUUUCAUAUGUAUGUAUAUGUAUAUAUUUCCUUUUGUGGUUUUCAGUUUUGUAACAAUGUUUUGCAAUUGUAGCAGCUUUUUAAUUAAUAUUAGUCAAACUACCAAAAGUGUUCUCAAAUCUGAAUAUUUUCUGAAGAGCUAAAACUAUCACAGGACUACAGGCUAGCUGUUCAGGCACUUUACCAAAUAGUUGAACCUUUAUCUUUGACGAUAUUGCAGAGCUUUGUGUCUGGUUACUGUUCCAUAUUAAAGUGAAAUAAAACAUCAAUAAAUGCAGAGUUCCAUGGUACAGCUGCCUGUACCAGUUGAAAUCUGAAGUCCAGAUGUAAGCUGAAUGAAAGACAAAUGAAAGU
ensembl:lncRNA